rnacentral:lncRNA from 1 species
GGGGCAUCUGAGGCUGAUGGAGACCCGGUGGGAGUGAGGGCCGCGGCGAGUGUGCAUUUUGCUUGUGAGAGGGACGCUGAAUGUCCUGUGCGUUUCCCUUGUGUGGUGUGACAGUCUAGUUUUACCGAGCGUCUUCGCGUGGAGGUUGUCGAUGCUGUGGAUACACGGAAAAGGAUCGUCACUAGCCUUUGUGUCCACAGAGACCCGGGAGACAAGAUGAGUGUUGUGAGAGAGAAGGGCUCAGUGCGCAGCGAAUAACGGUUCAGAGCAAAAAGAUUGGCUGCAAAGUGCUGAGCGAGCGUACUAGAUGGAAAGGAUGCUGUGAGCCGAAAUUUGCAAACAUGGUAUUUCAACAAUCCAAAGACAACGUCACACCUAUGUAAGGACACAAAGGUCAGGCGAGCAUCAACAAAAAGAAGUGUGGAGCCGGGUAAGCAAGAUGAGCAUUUCAGGAAGCAGCUGUGGAAGCCCUAAUUCCACAGAUAUAUCCAGUGACUUCAAGGAGCUCUGGACAAAACUAAAAGAAUAUCAUGAUAAGGAAGUACAAGGUUUACAAAUCAAAGUAACCAAACUGAAAAAGGAAAGAAUUUUAGAUGCACAGAGACUAGAAGAAUUCUUCACCAAAAAUCAACAGCUGAGAGACCAGCAAAAAGUUCUUCAGGAAACCAUUAAAAUUUUAGAAGAUAGAUUACUUUCUUGUGACCUGACCAGCAGUCAUCUGUAAUGGGAUCCGAUGCCCUCUUCUGGUGUGUCUGAAAACAGUGACAGUUUACUCACAUGUAUUAAAUAAAUAAAUAAAUCUUUAAAAAACAAA